rnacentral:rRNA from 1 species
CCUACGGGAGGCAGCAGUGAGGAAUAUUGGUCAAUGGUCGUGAGACUGAACCAGCCAAGUCGCGUGAGGGAUGAAGGUUCUAUGGAUCGUAAACCUCUUUUAUAAGGGAAUAAAGUCCGGGACGUGUCCCGUUUUGUAUGUACCUUAUGAAUAAGGAUCGGCUAACUCCGUGCCAGCAGCCGCGGUAAUACGGAGGAUCCGAGCGUUAUCCGGAUUUAUUGGGUUUAAAGGGUGCGUAGGCGGCCUUUUAAGUCAGCGGUGAAAGUCUGUGGCUCAACCAUAGCAUUGCCGUUGAAACUGGGAGGCUUGAGUAGGUGAGAGGCAUGCGGAAUGCGUGGUGUAGCGGUGAAAUGCUUAGAUAUCACGCAGAACCCCGAUUGCGAAGGCAGCCUGCC